rnacentral:rRNA from 1 species
AUUGCCCCCUUUCUUCAUUCCUAACACAUGCAAGUCGAACGGUAACAGGAAGCAGCUUGCUGCUUCGCUGACGAGUGGCGGACGGGUGAGUAAUGUCUGGGAAGCUGCCUGAUGGAGGGGGAUAACUACUGGAAACGGUAGCUAAUACCGCAUAAUGUCGCAAGACCAAAGAGGGGGACCUUCGGGCCUCUUGCCAUCGGAUGUGCCCAGAUGGGAUUAGCUUGUUGGUGGGGUAACGGCUCACCAAGGCGACGAUCCCUAGCUGGUCUGAGAGGAUGACCAGCCACACUGGAACUGAGACACGGUCCAGACUCCUACGGGAGGCAGCAGUGGGGAAUAUUGCACAAUGGGCGCAAGCCUGAUGCAGCCAUGCCGCGUGUAUGAAGAAGGCCUUCGGGUUGUAAAGUACUUUCAGCGGGGAGGAAGGGAGUAAAGUUAAUACCUUUGCUCAUUGACGUUACCCGCAGAAGAAGCACCGGCUAACUCCGUG